ensembl:lncRNA
CUUUAAAUAAGUGAAGGAAGUGACCAGGGAGCAGACAACGGUCAUGCUUUUGUGACUCACUGUCAUGUUUUCAGCCAGCAUACCCCUUCGGUUUCCUCCCUGCCUCCUGUCCCUAUCUAUUUCUGCAGAAAGCUAUCGCAAGAAUUGUCCUCUUUAAAAGUAUCAUUAAGGAAUUAGUUAGUGUUGCAACACGUGAAGUUUGAAAAUACACCAAAAUCAUGCAGAGAAGUAUCUCUCCCUUUUGAAAAAUAAAAGCAGCAUCACUGAAGUUAAUUAGGACCUGGCUCCUAAAGAAGGAAGACCCACAGAGGAGAAAUGUUCUGAAUGUCAGUGGGAUCCUCAGAAGAGCAAGUACAUCUGGAGAAGUGGCCCCUGAGGAGUUCUAUAGAAUGGACUACACAGUGGAAACCUUGCUAAGGACUUCCACAAAGGGGGAAUUAGCCAGGUCCUGCUCGGAGAACCAUAUGCCUGUUCUAAAAAUGUAGCAAGCGUCCACUAUGCAGAGAGCUCUCCCUCAGCAGCCAGCAGUUACUAAGCCUUCAAAAAGCAAUAAUGCUUUCAGGCUUUGUGCACCUCCCAUCUCCAUAAAGGACCCUAUAAUUUGCUGGGGUAUUUAGAAGAAAAUGUUUAAAAUAGCCCAUGAUCUACCAGAGUGCUAAUGGUUUCUCUGACAACUUGACUAUACUAUUAACUCCUGCAUUUUUCUAUGCCGGUUUCACAAAGAGUGGCAGUUUCAGCUAAUUCCCUCUUGAGAAUGUAAGAGUUGGAUAUUACGUUUGUUUCCCUGUGGUGAAUUCUGCACGAAUGAUUCUCCACACACAGAAUGAAGGGAAGGGAAGCUUACAAAAAGGUCAUCAGCAGAGGAAGGAGGGAAAUAAAAGUGGAAAAAGUUAAAAAGGUUUUCAAAUGGAGAAUGGUGAAGACGAUGUAAUUCUCUUACUACAAAUAACUUGAAAUUUUCAGUUAUUUUCCUUGUUUACAAAGGGAUGAUUUACAAUAGAAAGCCAUCUUCAAAAAUGAAGAACUGAUAUGCAUCAAAACCUCAGCAGCUUACCACUGGACUCAGAUUUUACUGCAGAGGUCACCAUUACAUUCUUAGUUUUCAGAAUCACGUAAGCAGCGUUACUACGUCAGAUGUUGCUCUGCAAAACAGCUGUCCCCUUUAAUCCUGGGCUCCCAAGGACUGCUCCAACAUCUGCUUUCUUUCCAAAGAGUUUCACUGAGGACUUUAUCAUCGGGGAGCAGCAGGUGAAUUAAUGCCCAGCUCUUCCUCAGCUGCUCCGUCAAACAAAUCUUCUCUGCUUUAAGGUAAUGGAGAGAGAUUACGAAUGUGUGGAAGAACAAGAGGAUGGACCUAAACUCGGGAUUCUUACUUCAAAAGAAGCUUUUAUGCAUGGGAAUCGAAGUAUUCCCACGGUUUUUGGCCGGUAGAGGGAGAUGUUACACAUGCGUAAGCCGUCAGCAUGAGGUAGCAGUGCCCCUCUGAAGGGGAGCACCAAGCCCAGCACAGCACGCAUAAACGGAGGGGUUUCUCUUCCCUCCCAUAUGCCAUGUACCCGGUUGUUUUAGAAUGCCUUCCAAAGCUGCCUUCUUCUAGAAGCUGAAAAUUCAAUGUGGAAAUUCUGUAAAAAUUACUGACUUCUAAACAUACACUCAAAAAAAAGUAGUAAUUGCUUUAUUCAAGCAAAUAAUCAGGCAAAAUAGGCAUCUGAAUGUUUUCAGGCACAUGUUAUAUGACUAUUAAGAGCUGUUCUGAUAACACUGGAAUUAGUUUUAUGAACUAUUGAUCAAUAACAGUAGCAGUGAACAACAGGGAGUGUACAGAG